UACGAAGGGGGCUAGCGUUGUUCGGAAUUACUGGGCGUAAAGGGCGCGUAGGCGGUGCCUCAAGUCAGGCGUGAAAGCCCCGGGCUCAACCUGGGAACCGCGCUUGAGACUGGAGUACUAGAGUUCGGGAGAGGAUGGUGGAAUUCCCAGUGUAGAGGUGAAAUUCGUAGAUAUUCGCAAGAACACCAGUGGCGAAGGCGGCUGACUGGUCCGGUUCUGACGCUGAGGCGCGAAAGCGUGGGGAGCGAACAGG
rnacentral:rRNA from 1 species